CCCUAUGGGGUGCAGCAGGCCGGCGCUCUAAUUCCGACCUUCUCCGCCCGGAGAGGACAGGAGUGGAAAUCGAUAGGCACGGCUGGAUCAGGGUGGACGAAUAUCUCCAGACCAGCAAAAAGGGGAUCUGGGCUUUGGGAGACGCUAUCGGAAAGCACAUGUUCCGCCACACCGCCAACUAUGAAGCCCGCAUCGUAGCCCACAAUAUUCUCCUGGUUCAGGGAGAGGCAGAGCGGAAAGCGGCUGACUAUCAUGCCGUUCCUUAUGCCGUAUUCUCUCAGCCGACGGUGGCGGGGGGGC
rnacentral:rRNA from 1 species